GACGAACGCUGGCGGCGUGCUUAACACAUGCAAGUCGAGCGGAAAGGCCCUUCGGGGUACUCGAGCGGCGAACGGGUGGGUAACACGUGAGUAACCUGCCCCAGACUUUGGGAUAACCCUCGGAAACGGGGGCUAAUACCGGAUACGACGCAGCUUCGCAUGGGGUCUGUGUGGAAAGUUUUUCGGUUUGGGAUGGGCUCGCGGCCUAUCAGCUUGUUGGUGGGGUGAUGGCCUACCAAGGCGACGACGGGUAGCCGGCCUGAGAGGGCGACCGGCCACACUGGGACUGAGACACGGCCCAGACUCCUACGGGAGGCAGCAGUGGGGAAUAUUGCACAAUGGGCGGAAGCCUGAUGCAGCGACGCCGCGUGAGGGAUGACGGCCUUCGGGUUGUAAACCUCUUUCAGCAGGGACGAAGCGUAAGUGACGGUACCUGCAGAAGAAGCGCCGGCCAACUACG
rnacentral:rRNA from 1 species